ACGUUGCAAGUUGAGGGCUGCCUGCACCGCCGCCGAUUUAAAACGGUGCCACCUCAAGCAUGGGCAGCCGGUGCCUCCCAAGUGUGGGGGCACCUGAUCACCGACGGGGAAGGGUCCCCCAGCGGCCGAUCGCCAAACCCAAAAUCACCAGUGGCAAAAACAGAAAUGCACGUCCACCAGCACUUCCAGCUUCAGGGCUGGCGUUUCCACAGGGUGCACGUGCACCCCCCACACGUCGCCAAUGAUCUUAAGCACCGCCACCCGUUUAAAACCGCACAACCUGACGUACCACCAGCAAACUUUUCAUCCCGCCACGUACGACUGACAGGUUGUGUCUGUACCACUGGGGGUACACGUGCCACAGAUUGGGAACCGCUGCUCUAAGGCACAGACAUGCCCCUGCCCGGGGCCUGGCUUCCUACCUCUCUGCUCAUCCGUGAAAGGAGCCCACAAAUGCUUUUGAAAGCGGUUGCAUCUUGGUGCUUGGAGAGCUCAGGGCUAGUUAUAAGAGGGGGGCAAAAGUUAGAGGGGAGCAAAGCUGUCAGUGAAAACCAGAGUGAAGUAGCGAGCCCUGUUAGUUGGCAGAGGCUAACUUGCCGUGACGAACAACUGAAGACCGCGCUCACGGUGCUCUCUGGCCAGCGCAGAAAUGUGCAGCGUAGUCCCUUCAAGGUCAUGGGUUUGGGAGUGAGAAAGAAGGCUGACGUCUUGCUCAGAGUACGCGCUCGUCCAUACGUGAAGUCGGCGACGCUCCUUAGCUGCACAGCAUUAUCCGUGCUGUGAUAUCGGCAACUUAUGGCUAAAGAACCACUGGAAAAACUCGGAUUUAAAGACCUAAUAGAUGAGAAACCAGAAGGGGAGCAUCAGAAGUUAAAGUGAAGACAAAAGACAACUCUCGCCGCCUCUUACGGAAAUUAUAACUAUUGUAGUACAUAUUGUACAUUUACGAAAUACUCUCUGAAGCAAAGAAAAAAACUCUGAAACUUUCCACUCUAAAGUAAGAUUUGUGAAAGAAGCAAAUUGUUAUCGUUAUCUCCUUUCGUUAACUUUCUCAAGAAACAUGUGACUAAUUGACUGACAUCAUCUUAAAGAGCCAUAAGAAUGAAUUUGCAUUUGGGAAAACAAUUGCCACUUAAGUAUUUGUCCUUUCUCAGUUAAAGAGGAGUAAAUCUUUGGAAUAAUAAUAAUAGCUCCCCUGUGCACACAAGGUGAGGUCUAUUUUCUGGGAUAAUUGUGUUACAAGAUUAAAAAAUGAGAAGUCUGUAUUUCCAUAGAUUACAAAUGCAUUUGUUCUUCCCUUCCUUAGCUCUCUGUAACUGAACAGUAAGACAUGAACAAUAAAAUUAAUGUUAUUGUUUAAAACUCA